GCUACGGGAGGCAGCAGUGAGGAAUAUUGGGCAAUGGCCGGAAGGCUGAACCAGCCAAGCCGCGUGAAGGACGACGGUGCCAAGCAUUGUAAACUUCUUUUGUCAAGGGACAAAAUCAGGCUCGAGAGCCUGACCGAGGGUACUUGAAGAAAAAGCAUCGGCUAACUCCGUGACAGCAGCCGCGGUAAUACGGGGGAUGCGAGCGUUAUCCGGAUUUAUUGGGUUUAAAGGGUGCGUAGGCGGGCUGUUAAGUCAGCGGUAAAAGUACGGGGCUCAACCCCGGCGCGCCGUUGAACCUGGGUGUCUUGAGAUGUCGAGAGGUAUGCGGAAUGCGCAGUGUAGCGGUGAAAUGCUUAGAUAUUGCGCAGAACUCCGAUUGCGAAGGCAGCAUACCGGCGGCGAUCUGACGCUGAGGCACGAAAGCGUGGGUAUCGAACAGGAUUAGAUACCCCAGUAGUC
rnacentral:rRNA from 1 species